GCACGAUCCGGUGAGCGCUGAAUUUAUGGUCCCCCACCUUGAGGGUCACGUCGCACAGCUUGCCCUGCCUCCGGAUCUCGCCCAUCACGCCGUAGCCGCGGCUGGGCAGGUCGCCCACCGAGAAGUGCACCAAGUCCUCGGGGUCCAGCUCGGGCUCGGCCGCGGCCGCGGCCGCCGCCUCCAGCAUCGUCCCGACCGCCACACCGC
rnacentral:lncRNA from 1 species